AAAUACAAGAUAGCAGAGGAUGCCUUUUCACUUCUGUGAUCAUUUGCAGCCAAUGGUAACAGAAACAGAAGUUGAUACUAGGAAAACCUAUGGGUUUUUCACCAACUUCAUGUCAUCAUGAUACUAGGAAAACCUCUCACUUAAUGGGAUCCAGCGAUUAUUUGUGUAUGAAUCUAUGCCUAAUAAGAGCCUAGAAGAUCAUUUAUUUAGCAAAGGUUUGCCCACUUGGCCUUGGAAAAUGAGAUUAGAGGUUAUGCUUGGUGCAGCUGAAGGAUUAGCUUACUUACAUGGGGGAAUGGAAGUCCAUGUAUUAUUUUCUUUGAUUCAGUUGAUUUGAAUUAAUGACUUCAUCUCUUAUCAAUGUGUUAAGUUAAAAUGUGUGAUGAUCAAAGAAUAUAGAGUUUUUUUUUUUAAUUGUGGCUAUGCUAAAAUGAGUAUGUGUAGGUAUUUGCUAAUGGCUACUGGAUACAUGUUCUUGUAAAUGUCUCGUGUAAAAAAUAUUGUUUUAUCUGAUUAUUGCUAUGAAUCCUUCAAUACAUCCACCCCUUGGUUCA